GUGGGGACACAGCCAGACCAUUUCAAAGAGCAAAGAUAUGUCUCAGAUGGUGGCAGGAAAGGGAGUAUGUGCAGAGGAACUGCCCUUUAUGAAGCCAUCAGAUCCUGUGAGACUUAUU